GCUCGCCGGAAGACCAAGGGUUCCUGUCCAACGUUAAUCGGGGCAGGGUGAGUCGACCCCUAAGGCGAGGCCGAAAGGCGUAGUCGAUGGGAAACAGGUUAAUAUUCCCGUACUUGGUGUUACUGCGCGACCGCAAUGACGACAGUUCCGAUAUUCAGCUUACGCCAUUCGCCGGAAACCAGACGCCCGACGACCAGCGUGGCAAAGCCGAUCAUAAUCCCGGUGACAAUGUUACAGGUCAGUACAAUAAA
rnacentral:rRNA from 1 species